GUUUGCUUACAGUAUGUAUUUUCUCCUUUACAGAAAUGACGCCAUCUACAAAACCGCUCAGAUCUAAGUCUUAAUAAAUCUUUAGGGAUUCACCUCGUCACUGUUUUCUUCCUUAUCAGUAUCUGUCACCGCAACCAUAUUUUUUCUUCUUCUCUUUUCCUUCUCGGUAUUCCUGCCUUUCCACCUUUAUUAUCAUCCUGCUUUCCUCCGCCGUCUUUCCGCCUCUCACCACCACCUUUUUUUUCUCGGCAGGUGAGUCGGCCGGCCGGUGAGCUGUGGUGUCUGCUGUCUUCCUCGGCUCAGUUCGCGCGGGCGGGGAGGGAGCGGCAGCCGGCGGGGAGUCACGGGUAAAGGCGGAGCGGCACUGAAUUAAUCUACGGUCAAAGGGCAGAGGAUCGACGGAUGUGAUGAAUGGGACGAAAUGGAAGGCGUGGAUUGUGCUUGGAGUAGUGGU